rfam:Oryza glumipatula chromosome 2, whole genome shotgun sequence.
AAUAAAUGCAGUUUUACACUAUUUAUGUCUAACAUUUGACCGUUCGUCUUAUUUAAAAAAAAUUUUACGAUUAAUAUUUUUGUUGUUAUUAGAUGAUAAAACAUGAAUAAUACUUUAUGUGCGACUAACUUUUUUAAAAUUUUUCAUAAAUUUUUUAAAUAAGACGGACGGUUAAACAUUAGACACAGAUUCCCACGACUGCACUUAUU